UGGGGAAUAUUACACAAUGGAGGAAACUCUGAUGUAGCAACGCCGCGUGGAGGAUGACACAUUUCGGUGCGUAAACUCCUUUUAUGUGAGAAGAUAAUGACGGUAUCACAUGAAUAAGCACCGGCUAACUCCGUGCCAGCAGCCGCGGUAAUACGGAGGGUGCAAGCGUUACUCGGAAUCACUGGGCGUAAAGCGCGCGCAGGCGGCUUUGAAGUUGGAUGUGAAAUCCUAUGGCUCAACCAUAGAACUGCAUCCAAAACUCUUAGCUAGAGUCUGGGAGGGGAAGAUGGAAUUAGUGGUGUAGGGGUAAAAUCCGUAGAGAUCACUAGGAAUACCAAAAGCGAAGGCGAUCUUCUGGAACAGUACUGACGCUGAGGCGCGAAAGCGUGGGGAGCGAAAC
rnacentral:rRNA from 1 species